UAGGGGAGACUGGAAUUCCUGGUGUAGCGGUGAAAUGCGCAGAUAUCAGGAGGAACACCCGAUGGCGAAGGCAGGUCUCUGGGCAUUAACUGACGCUGAGGAGCGAAAGCAUGGGGAGCGAACAGGAUUAGAUACCCUGGUAGUCCAUGCCGUAAACGUUGGGCACUAGGUGUGGGGGACAUUCCACGUUUUCCGCGCCGUAGCUAACGCAUUAAGUGCCCCGCCUGGGGAGUACGGCCGCAAGGCUAAAACUCAAAGGAAUUGACGGGGGCCCGCACAAGCGGCGGAGCAUGCGGAUUAAUUCGAUGCAACGCGAAGAACCUUACCAAGGCUUGACAUGAACCGGAAAGACCUGGAAACAGGUCCCCCACUUGUGGCCGGUUUACAGGUGGUGCAUGGUUGUCGUCAGCUCGUGUCGUGAGAUGUUGGGUUAAGUCCCGCAACGAGCGCAACCCUCGUUCUAUGUUGCCAGCGGGUUAUGCCGGGGACUCAUAGGAGACUGCCGGGGUCAACUCGGAGGAAGGUGGGGACGACGUCAAAUCAUCAUGCCCCUUAUGUCUUGGGCUUCACGCAUGCUACAAUGGCCGGUACAAAGGGUUGCGAUACUGUGAGGUGGAGCUAAUCCCAAAAAGCCGGUCUCAGUUCGGAUUGAGGUCUGCAACUCGACCUCAUGAAGUUGGAGUCGCUAGUAAUCGCAGAUCAGCAACGCUGCGGUGAAUACGUUCCCGGGCCUUGUACACACCGCCCGUCAAGUCACGAAAGUUGGUAACACCCGAAGCCGGUGGCCUAACCC
rnacentral:rRNA from 1 species